rnacentral:rRNA from 1 species
CAAGUCUAGCGGAGAGAGGUAGCUUGCUACUGAUCUUAGCGGCGGACGGGUGAGUUAUGCUUAGGAAUCUGCCUAUUAGUGGGGGACAACAUUUCGAAAGGAAUGCUAAUACCGCAUACGUCCUACGGGAGAAAGCAGGGGAUCUUCGGACCUUGCGCUAAUAGAUGAGCCUAAGUCGGAUUAGCUAGUUGGUGGGGUAAAGGCCUACCAAGGCGACGAUCUGUAGCGGGUCUGAGAGGAUGAUCCGCCACACUGGGACUGAGACACGGCCCAGACUCCUACGGGAGGCAGCAGUGGGGAAUAUUGGACAAUGGGCGCAAGCCUGAUCCAGCCAUGCCGCGUGUGUGAAGAAGGCCUUAUGGGUGUAAAGCACUUUAAGCGAGGAGGAGGCUAUUUUAGUUAAUACCUAGAGAUAGUGGACGUUACUCGCAGAAUAAGCACCGGCUAACUCUGUGCCAGCAGCCGCGGUAAUACAGAGGGUGCAAGCGUUAAUCGGAUUUACUGGGCGUAAAGCGCGCGUAGGCGGCUAAUUAAGUCAAAUGUGAAAUCCCCGAGCUUAACUUGGGAAUUGCAUUCGAUACUGGUUAGCUAGAGUGUGGGAGAGGAUGGUAGAAUUCCAGGUGUAGCGGCUAAAUGCGUAGAGAUCUGGAGGAAUACCGAUGGCGAAGGCAGCCAUCUGGCCUAACACUGACGCUGAGGUGCGAAAGCAUGGGGAGCAAACAGGGAUUAGAUACCCUGGUAGUCCAUGCCGUAAACGAUGUCUACUAGCCGUUGGGGCCUUUGAGGCUUUAUUGGCGCAGCUUAACGCGUAUAAGUAAACCCCUGGGGGAGUACGGUCCCAAGACUAAAACUCAAAUGAAUUGACGGGGGCCCGCACAAGCGGUGGAGCAUGUGGUUUAAUUCGAUGCAACGCGAAGAACCUUACCUGGCCUUGACAUAGUAAGAACUUUCCAGAGAUGGAUUGGUGCCUUCGGGAACUUACAUACAGGUGCUGCAUGGCUGUCGUCAGCUCGUGUGCGUGAGAUGUUGGGUUAAGUCCCGCAACGAGCGCAACCCUUUUCCUUAUUUGCCAGCGAGUAAUGUCGGGAACUUUAAGGAUACUGCCAGUGACGGACUGGAGGAAGGCGGGGACGACGUCAAGUCAUCAUGGCCCUUACGGCCAGGGCUACACACGUGCUACAAUGGUCGGUACAAAGGGUUGCUACCUAGCGAUAGGAUGCUAAUCUCAAAAAGCCGAUCGUAGUCCGGAUUGGAGUCUGCAACUCGACUCCAUGAAGUCGGAAUCGCUAGUAAUCGCGGAUCAGAAUGCCGCGGUGAAUACGUUCCCGGGCCUUUGUCACACCGCCCGAUACACCAUGUGAGUUUGUUGCUCCAGAAGUAGCUAGCCUA